AAAAAAGAUCUCGACUAGAUCGUGGGAGAAGCUAUGAAGACACCGGUUACGAGCUCUCAGCUCGCCACCAUCACCGUCGCUUAUCCUGCCUACAAGCGGCGGUUCCCCACCACCGUUCUACUCCGAGCCUCUGGCCCCGUCGGCGCUGCUCCAUCCCACCGCCACUCCUCACGACCCCACCCCUCUGGCACCGCUCCCAUCCCACCGGCGCCACUCCCCACCCCUUCGGCGCCACAUCAGGGCGUCGCGCCGCCGCUCGCCGUAGCGCCGUGGGUCGUCGUUACUGGCGUCGGUCAGGGGCGACCAGUCACCACGUGCCAUCUUCCUCAUGUUGAGAGACUUGGAGACGGCCACGCCGGCGGUCAGCGUCUUCUGCUGCAGCAACGACAUCAUCCAUGAUUUUUUCAGCUUUCCCAAACCCAUGUACCAGAUUUAUUAGCUCUUGGAUAGUUGAAUCUUAAUCUAUUGGUGUAUGUUGAAUUAACGAAUUCUAUGAAGGCGCUGCUAGCUUGCUAUGAACGACUGCUUUUUAAUAGUAGCUAAAUUUUGGCUGAAUUCCGCCAUGCUUUGCAUCCUCCUCAAUGAAGAUGAUGGUGGCACCUUGCCUUGUCGUUGCCGGACACGGUCCAUGUCAGCAGGUGCUGGGUGUUGGCAAAGCUUGGGCACUACCAGGCAUCAUUAGAUGCUGGCCCGCUCCACGUCAACCCGCCCACGCUAGCUGUGCCUAAUAGUCAUGGCAAGAACCCGAAUGCCUGAUAGUCCACGUCAACCCUGCAGGAGCCUAAAAUUAGGACUCUUUUUCAACCAGUGAAGCUAGAUAUGUCUUGGUAUCUAUCUGCAAGGCUAUUGGACACUCUCUGCAGGUUUGGUGUUGAUCAUUGAUUUUCCAUCUCCAGUGGAUCCAGUGGAUCCAGCGGUCACUAAUGACUCACUGAUGAGCCCGUCAUUGUGGAGGUUGGGUGCUUCUUCCUGCUGCGGAAAUUCAUUGGCGUCUCCAGGUUGGCUUUAUUACAGGCUACAAUUUAUUGGUAAGCCCUUUGUUUCAUUGUUUGUUCUUCUCUGUUCAAGCUACCUGUUUAUGUUCAGGUUUAAACUCUGUUAUUACAAACUCUAGUCCAACCAAUAUUAGACAGAGCAAACACUUAAAGGAACUUUGUUUGUAAAAUGUUCACACAAAGUACAAACAUGGAAACAUUUAUUUAGCAAUAUUGAGUGUCCUUCAUGUGUUUUGUCAGAAUGCUUUAUACAAACUAUUAUGUAGUUUCCUAGUUUCAGGUUUUAACAAAUACUAAAUGAUAGAGAUAUUGCUACUUUGCUAUGAGUGUGCUGGUAAUUAUUAGAGCCUAAUGUGUGAUCUACUUCUCCUUGAAAUCUGUUUUUGAGUUUUGAAUGCGCGGUCAGCUAUCUGAAGUCUUAUAUUUAGUUGAAGCCUGAUUCAUGAAGAUCUAUCAUUUCAUCUAGACUAAUAUGCAGCACUGGCCAUUGAUUUUGGUAGAGAAGCUUUCUAUUGGUAUCUCAAUGGGAAUAUUUUUGUUGCAGUCUUGAAAUCUCAUUUAAUGAACCGUUAGAUUAAUCGGGAUGACUUUGCUUCAUGUCAUCCGGAGGUGAGGAUAUUAUUAUAGAUCUUUUGGUAUGUUCUUCGUGUAACUGUUGCUCUAUGUGCCUCGGGGUUUGUAUUGAUCCUAUAUUUUGCAUAUAAUUGGGCAAAAACCUUGCCAUGUUUAUGAAUGAAUAAGAGUAAACCAACACAUAUCUUGAGGCCUCCAUGAUUUAAAUUUUUGCAGAACAUUACUUGGAAAAAGAAUAUUUACGGUGCCAACGACCCAUGUGCCCGCACACUAAUUUGUGUGCUUCGUUUACUAUCAAAACUCUUUUCUCUAUAUUACAUGAAGCAUAACAUGUUUGUAUUCACCCCAACUUCAUUUUCCCCUACGUGCCUGCCGGUUUUUUUGGGGUGUUCCAUCCUUUUUUGCCAUUGUGGGCAACGGCAGUUCCUACUCUGCUCAGUGGUGUGACAGUGCCCUCUGCCCCCCUUUGCAAGUGGCGUCGAAGCGGCGACGUCCAGCUCCACCUACCUCCUCUGCACAGAUCCUCUGCCAUGUCCUGCUUUCCUGUGUUUGUCGACUUGAGCCUUCAUCACUAUGCUAGCGACCGAUCUAGCGUAGUAGGCCUAGAAAGUGCUGAUCUCCUUCAUCCAGUCCUCCAGGCCCUCCAGAUUGUCUUCCCUUUUGUUUGCUUUGCUCGGCUUGUUUGGACAUGAUCUCAAUGAAAUGACACGCUGCUCUCCCUCGUAGUUUUAGAAAAAAAUUAUGGUUCCAAUGAUCACAUUUACAUGCACAAUACCAGGUCUGACAGGUCCCUGGUCCAGUAAUGUUUAUGUUCCAGCUUGAGGAAAAUUAUUCUUUUUUGUAGAAUGAGUUCAUGAGAUUUUUUACACAUUUCUUGUUGCAAGCCGCAGGAUGUAGCAGAACUUGGCAACAGGAGAGGCUUAUAUUUGAACUGGUACUUGCUGCAGGGAAAAAGAGAGGUUCCAUUCAUUUACUGCCUUCUUACAUCUUUGCUAUAAUAAUUUGUUUAGUUGUUUGUGCUCUCUAUUUUGAUUUGUACCUAGGUAAUAAUUUCCCUUUUGAAUUGAACAACUAAACUAGCAUUAGUAAUGAAACAAAGUCCUAUAGUGCACUCGAAAAAAAAGACUGCACUAUAUUGUACCUCUGAAAAUAGCUCCCACUUUCCAUAGCAGAUCACUGGCACUUUCUCCUUAUGAAAAUUGAGCCAUUUCAUUUCUACCUCGGUAACAAUUUCCCUUUUGAAUUGAAUUUGCACUAUUUGUCUUAUUUACCUAGCAAGAACCAUAGAGAAGGUCCAGUUAGCUAUGUUGAAUUUAAAGGCCAAAUUAAGUGAUAAUUGACUAUUAAUACUAUUGCUUUCGAGUCCAUAAUAAAUAUAUUAUAGCAAACCAAGUCUAAUAGCUUCUGAUUGCGGAGCAUAUGUAGCUAUGGUAGCAAUGCAUCAUCAUUUCACACUCGUGGCUGAUGUAGCACAAUCUGUUCCAUUAUGGAAGCUCUUCUUCCUGACAAAAAUCAAUUGGAAGCACUUAUGCAAGCUUCUCCCUUCGAUUGUUUGGAAAGUGUGUUUCACUGUUAUCUUGUUUGUUUUCCUUGGGUGCAUGAUUUUUGCAAUUUUUUAGGCUCAAUAUAUAGAUGAGCUUAGAUUUUGGUACUUUAGAAUAAAAUUUCGUUGACUUCAUUUGUGUAGAUUCCUUCAUUUGAAAGUUCGCUAAUGUUCUCUAGGAUUUUGGACGUGUACCAAUGUUGCUGGUUUGAUCUUUUUCAAAUUUUAAUUAUGCACUAACAAUGCUGCAGUUCAUUUUGGACGUUUACCAAUGCUGCAGUUCAUUUUCUCCUGGCGAACACACACGUCAUUGCCUUAAAGGAAAGAAGUGUUCCUAAAUAAUGCGGCAUUCAUGGCUGGGUUAGUCUUUUAAUGCAUUCGGCUGUAGUUCAAAUUCUAAUUAUGCAGUAACAUCUGGUUCAGAGAAUCCUAGUGUCCAUUCCAUGGGCUAUUUGGUGGUGCCUCCCAGCUUUAGUUGCUUUUCUUUGGUAGAUUUCAUAUUUCCUUUUCCCAUUAAAAAAUGUUGAUCCAUUGAUGUUUUCCCAGUUAUUUAAGAAAGCACAAAUCAGUACUUGAUCGAGUUCAUAGGAAAACUUGUUUUGUCCACUAUGGACUACUGCAGAAUUGGAUGUUCUAGUGAGUAACUUUUGUCGCUUAUUUGGUUUGAUUAUCUUCAUCUAGCAUUCUAAAUUCUCUUUCAAUCCAAUUUUAUGUUUUCCUUUUUUACAGGCAACAACCCUAAUGUGGAUGGAUGCUUUCAAUUGAUUACCACAAACAUAGGUCACCCCAUGGCCUACCUCUAAUAAACUAUUGGAAUUCUGAUAUCCUCCAUUACAUGUGCUAUAAAAGAUUGAUUUGGAAUUAUUUAUGGAUUCUCUACUAAUAAUCAUGGUUUCAAAGGGGACUAGGCGUCCAGACAAGAGCUGUGUGUGCGCCUAGAUGCCUAAUUAUACUUGGCCUUUUUUUGUUUUGAUUCGGGUUUUUGCAAGUCACUAACGAUGGUUCCAGACUUCCAUUGGAUCCAUUUAUUAUAUUAGUAUAUAAUUAUUAAUUCAGUAACUAUGUUUAUUUUUCACCAUUUUUGGAGCAUCUAUAAUGUAUUCUUGGCUUACUGAAUUAUUUUUGCAUACUUAUUUCCUAUUUAUGUUGGCUUGAAGGGCCUAUAGUUGUAUCAUAUCUGAAUGAUUAGUGGAUGUUGUCCCCUUCGCGUACUAUCUUAUUAAGAUCUAUGCAUGAAAGCUCCUUUGUAAUGUUUUCUUUUGUUUCACUUUUUUUGACAGGUGAAGCAAUUGGCCCUCAUUAGAGAGGGGCAUAAGAAGAGAGGGAUGCAUUUGUUUUGUUUUGUUUUUCUUUCAUUCAGAUAAAAAAGUAAUAUAAUUUGGUGUGAGUUGUUGCAACCUCAAUAUUUAUGAUCUCAAUGAAAGGUUAUUUAGUUGCCAUAAAUUGUACUGUGAUUUUGUGGAACAAAACUAUGUGUAUUCAACCACAAAGUGUAUUUCAAUCUUUCAUGAUUCAUUUA